rnacentral:rRNA from 1 species
UACGUAGGGGGCAAGCGUUGUACGGAAUUAUUGGGCGUAAAGCGCGCGCAGGCGGUUAAUUAAGUCAGAUGUGAAAGGCUACGGCUCAACCGUAGAGUUGCAUUUGAAACUGGUUAAAUUGAGUGCAGGAGAGGUAAGUGGAAUUCCCGGUGUAGUGGUGGAAUGCGUAGAGAUCGGGAGGAACACCAGUGGCGAAGGCGGCUUACUGGCCUGCAACUGACGCUGAGGCGCGAAAGCGUGGGGAGCGAACAGG